CAGUAGCCACGGUAAUACAGAGGGUGCAAGCGUUAAUCGGAAUUACUGGGCGUAAAGCGCGCGUAGGUGGUUUGUUAAGUUGGAUGUGAAAUCCCCGGGCUCAACCUGGGAACUGCAUCCAAAACUGGCAAGCUAGAGUAUGGUAGAGGGUGGUGGAAUUUCCUGUGUAGCGGUGAAAUGCGUAGAUAUAGGAAGGAACACCAGUGGCGAAGGCGACCACCAGGACUGAUACUGACACUGAGGUGCGAAAGCGUGGGGAGCAAACAGGAUUAGAUACCCCUGUAGUCCCUGUCUCUUAUAA
rnacentral:rRNA from 1 species